rnacentral:rRNA from 1 species
AUGGCAGAGGCAUCGAAUGGGCGAACUUCAAAGGUCAAGAAAGCAGUGGUGGAGGAGAAGCUAGAACCCAAGAACAAGGGAAAGGCAUCGAAUGCCCAAAGUUCGAAUGGCGCACAAGGCUCUGACAACAGAGAACUAAAGAGGACUAUUGAAGACCUGGUGGGCAAGAUUAACACACUGAAUGUUGACAUUGAAGCAUCCCAGAAGCUCAUCGAGAAAAUGACCAGGGAGAAAAAUAAAGUGGGAGAGGAGAUCACAAAGCAGCAGAAGAAGAAAACGGAGACGGGAACAGAGAUUGAAGAGCUGGACUUGAAGAAAGGAGAGUUGGUGGGGAAGAAAGGAAAGCUGGGAGAGGAUAUUAGAAAUCUAGACCUGCAGAAAGAAGAACUCGUGAAGGAGAAAAGAAAGCUGCGACAGGAUAUUGAAAAUCUAGACUUGAAGAAAAAAGAACUGGUGGAUGAGAAUAGAAAGCUGGGAGAGGAUAUCACAGAGCUGGAGAAGAAGGAAAUAAUGACUCAAACUGAGAUUGCAACUCUGAAUAAGGCGGAAACUGAACUGGUGGUGAAGAAAGGAAACUUUGCGAAGGAGCUAGACGAGAAAAUAAAGAUGAGGUUUGAUAACCUGGAGAAGGGGAAGCAGGAAGUGGUGGAGGAGAAUCAGGAGCUGAUUAAGGACAAAAGGAAGCUGGCCAAGGACAACGAGAAACUGAGGAAGGACAACGAGAAACUCAAGAAGGACAAAGAGGAGCUGGUGGGUCAAGAAGGAAAGACGAGAGAGGAGAUGCAAAAGAGGUACGACAAGCUGCAGGACAAAUACGAUGGGAGAUGCUGCAGCUGUUGCUCAAUUUGUUAA